CGUCCUGGAGUGGGGAGCCGCCCAGGACCCGGGUCUUAAGUGCGGGCUUGGUGGGCGACGCGCACCAGGCCUCCGGGGCAAGGCGGUCCCCGCUCCGCCGGCCCCAGCGCGGACGGACCCCGCGCGCCGGCCGGCUCCGGAGCCCCCUCCCGGAGGACUCGGGGCAGGAAGCGGGGCACGGCUGCCCCGGGGGGUGCCCGAGCCCCCCAGCCAGGAGGGAGGGCCGGCGUGGCCUGCGCAGGACGCCUCCCGCUCGCGGACGCUCUCCCUCCCGCCUGCCCGCCCCGCCCGGGACCCCCGCGGCCGCCAGCCGGCAGGAUAACGGAGCUGUAGCUGGGCGGACGUGCUGAGCUGGACUACAUUUCCCAGGCUGCUGAGCUGGACUACAUUUCCCAGGGUGUCUUGCAGAUGUGAAAACGGAGCCUCGGAGCUGUGAAGUCAGAACUGGAGCCCGAGCCCACCAGCCGGCAAGAGCCUGGCCGGGUCCCCGACGGCACCCCUGCCCUCCCAGGAGGUGUGCUGCUUGGUCAGGGAGGGGUCACACAGACCUUGGAGUAUCUGCCUUAGCGCAAUGGACAGACCAUACUUUCAAGCCAACCGCUCCCCAUGAGAAGACUGCAGAGCCUGAAUCCCUUCUCCUUGAGUGUGGACUGUGCUUAGCAACCCACUGCUAACAAAUGGAAUGUAGCAGAAGGGACUGUGUAUGAUUCUGGAGACAAGGUCACAGAAAGCACUGUGGCUCCCUCCUUGCUUAGUCUCUCUUGGAUCACUCGCUCUGGAGGAAGCCAGCUGCAUGCCAUGUCAGGAAGACCCUUGACAGCCCCAUGGAGAAGUAUACUCAGCUGAGACCUCCGGUCAACAAUCACAUGAGUAACCUUGGCAGCAGACCUCCGGCCCCAGUCAAGCCUUCUCAUGGCUGCAACCCUGGUUGACAUCUUGACCACAUCUUGGAAAGAAGUGGAACUGGAACCACCCAGAUUUCUGACCCUGGAAACUGUAGGAGAUAAUAAAUAUGUGUUGGUUUAAGCAGCCAGGCUUGGCUCUGAUUGGUUAUGCAGCAACACAGAACUAAUACACCUGUUCCAUCCCCCCCUCUUCCUUAUCAUCUUCUGUCAUUAUCUGCUUGGUGUCCCUCCCACCCCCUUCAGGGAAAGUCUGUUCCAUCAAGAAGGGAGAAUAUGGAGUGGGUCUCCCGGUUAACAUGCUACAUCUCAAGUAAUCCUUGGGUUAUCUACCAAAAAACUCCUCCUUCCUUCUUCUAAAGGACAAAGAGAUCCCAAGGCUACUCAAAGCCAUAGCCUAGGGCUGUUCCUGAUAUUUUCCGUCCCGAGGUCAUUCCAAAUGGCUGCACUGAGCGUGGACAAGAGGAAGCCAUGCCUAGGGGAGCCACGUUGUUCUCUCUGACUUACUGACAAGAGGCACAGGACCCUCCGGUCGCAGAGCACAGGGAAACACUGGCAGGUUCUGGAAAUCCAGGUGAAGAAGUGCCAUGUGUGUCCAGCCUGGACAGAGCAAAACAGCGGUAGCCACCACAGCAGGCUCCUUGUCAGUGAUGGGAGUGGUGGGGGACAGCUGGGACACCCACAGCCCUCUUGGAUACCCCCCUCGUUGGGUGACUAGCCAUGCCUCAUUCUGGGAGGAAACCCAUGAAGUCUCUGACAGUGGUUGGAGAACAGGAGGGCAGGUGGGAAAGCAAGAUACAUUUUUCCUGAGCACCUGUUUGUCUAUUGAAUUUUGUACUUUGUGUGUGUGUAUGUUGCCUAUUCAAAGAUAGAUCAAUUAAAUAUAUUUAAAAUAUUAUUUUACCAAUUACCAAACUCUGCUUGGUGUUCCUAAAUGAGACCUUUGUGGCCAUAUAAGUUUGGGGAACUUGGCUGAUACGUCCUCUUCCUGGACUGUCACGUUAGCGAA